UACGUAGGGGGCAAGCGUUAUCCGGAUUCACUGGGUUUAAAGGGAGCGCAGGCGGAUUGGUAAGUCAGUGGUGAAAGGCUUGAGCUUAACUCGGGAACUGCCAUUGAUACUAUCAGUCUUGAAUAUUGUUGAGGUUUGCGGAAUGGGUCAUGUAGCGGUGAAAUGCAUAGAUAUGACCCGGAACACCUAUUGCGAAGGCAGCAGGCUAAACAAAGAUUGACGCUGAGGCUCGAAAGCGUGGGGAUCAAACAGG
rnacentral:rRNA from 1 species